rnacentral:sRNA from 1 species
ACUUUUGCAGACAUUCAGUGCAAGGGAGAUCAUGUUUGACUGUAUGGAUGUUCUGUCAGUGAGUCCUGGGCAAAUCCUGGAUUUCUACACUGCGAGUCCGUCUUCCUGCAUGCUCCAGGAGAAAGCUCUCAAAGCAUGCUUCAGUGGAUUGACCCAAACCGAAUGGCAGCAUCGGCACACUGCUCAAUCAAUUGAAACACAGAGCACCAGCUCUGAGGAACUCGUCCCAAGCCCCCCAUCUCCACUCCCUCCCCCUCGAGUGUACAAGCCCUGCUUCGUCUGCCAGGACAAAUCAUCAGGGUACCACUAUGGGGUCAGCGCCUGUGAGGGAUGUAAGGAAAGAAAAGAAACAUGACUUCAAAGGCAAAUACAACUAACUCAUCCAUAAAAAAUUUCUCAAAGGAACUAUGGCUGUCUUGAACUAGCCCUUCCCUAGAUAUAUAACUUCUUUAAGUCCUCUCUGGAUGGUUGUUUAGAUCUGUUGUUUAUACAUCUAAAUUGCAUGAUUCAUUUGUAAUUGUUAACAUGUUGCAAUAAUGUUACAGGUACUCCAUGGCAUUUUAUAUUUGGCUUA